UGGAAAGGACAAGAAGGCUGGAGCCUGU
rnacentral:piRNA from 1 species